rnacentral:rRNA from 1 species
GUGUCAGCAGCCGCGGUAAUACGAAGGGGGCUAGCGUUGUUCGGAAUUACUGGGCGUAAAGCGCGCGUAGGCGGACUGGUCAGUCAGGGGUGAAAUCCCGGGGCUUAACCUCGGAACUGCCUUUGAUACUGCCAGUCUCGAGUCCGGAAGAGGUGAGUGGAAUUCCUCGUAUAGAGGUGAAAUUCGUAGAUAUUAGGAAGAACACCGGUGGCGAAGGCGGCUCACUGGUCCGGUACUGACGCUGAGGCGCGAAAGCGUGGGGAGCAAACAGGAUUAGAUACCCUGGUAGUCCACGCCGUAAACUAUGAGGGCUAGUUGUCGGGCGGCUUGCCGUUCGGUGACGCAGCUAACGCAUUAAGCCCUCCGCCUGGGGAGUACGGUCGCAAGAUUAAAACUCAAAUGAAUUGACGGGG